GGGGAGAUAGCUCAGUGGUAAAGCACCUGCCUAGCAAGCAUGAGGCCCUGAGUUCAACCCUCAUCACCACA
rnacentral:tRNA from 1 species